AGCACAGUUCUCACUACGUAUUGAUGAAGGUGUGUUUGGCAGCAGAGGUGUGUGCAGCUUUUACAUAACCUGACAAAGUGCAAUGCAGUUACCCACAAAAGACCAGAGCCGAGAGCAGACAGCAGCGCACGGAGACAGACUGUUGGACAGGAAACUAAUGCCGUGCAGGUGCACAGACAUGACUACAUGCAAACUAUUCUGAAGACAGAAAUCAACUGACACAUUCAGUCUGGAGGAAUCCCCCAGGGUACCAGCAGGAUGCAUUAACAGUGCAUUUCUCCAGUGAGAUGUGAUGGGAAGAGCACAGAGCAAAAAGUAGGUAAAGUGCUAAAAAAACAACUCAUAUUUUUAGACCCCGCUCUCCCACAGAAAUCUUUGGAGAUGCUGAGCUCUCCACUUCUGAAAAUUGGGUCUCUUAUUUAUAAGCAGAAAUAAUGUUUUAGGAGCCCAGCUUAGAUUCCCAUGUUUUUGUUCUGUUUUGUUUUGUUUUUAAGUUGUCCAUAUGAU